CGAACCGACUUACGUUGAAAAGUGAGCGGAUGAACUGAGGGUAGCGGAGAAAUUCCAAUCGAACCUGGAGAUAGCUGGUUCUCUCCGAAAUAGCUUUAGGGCUAGCCUCAAGUGAUGAUUAUUGGAGGUAGAGCACUGUUUGGACGAGGGGCCCCUCUCGGGUUACCGAAUUCAGACAAACUCCGAAUGCCAAUUAAUUUAACUUGGGAGUCAGAACAUGGGUGAUAAGGUCCGUGUUCGAAAGGGAAACAGCCCAGACCACCAGCUAAGGUCCCAAAAUAUAUGUUAAGUGGAAAAGGAUGUGGCGUUGCCCAGACAACUAGGAUGUUGGCUUAGAAGCAGCCAUCAUUUAAAGAGUGCGUAAUAGCUCACUAGUCGAGUGACACUGCGCCGAAAAUGUACCGGGGCUAAACAUAUUACCGAAGCUGUGGAUUGUCCUUUGGACAAUGGUAGGAGAGCGUUCUAAGGGCGUUGAAGCAUGAUCGUAAGGACAUGUGGAGCGCUUAGAAGUGAGAAUGCCGGUGUGAGUAGCGAAAGACGGGUGAGAAUCCCGUCCACCGAUUGACUAAGGUUUCCAGAGGAAGGCUCGUCCGCUCUGGGUUAGUCGGGUCCUAAGCUGAGGCCGACAGGCGUAGGCGAUGGAUAACAGGUUGAUAUUCCUGUACCACCUAUAAUCGUUUUAAUCGAUGGGGGGACGCAGUAGGAUAGGCGAAGCGUGCGAUUGGAUUGCACGUCUAAGCAGUAAGGCUGAGUAUUAGGCAAAUCCGGUACUCGUUAAGGCUGAGCUGUGAUGGGGAGAAGACAUUGUGUCUUCGAGUCGUUGAUUUCACACUGCCGAGAAAAGCCUCUAGAUAGAAAAUAGGUGCCCGUACCGCAAACCGACACAGGUAGUCAAGAUGAGAAUUCUAAGGUGAGCGAGCGAACUCUCGUUAAGGAACUCGGCAAAAUGACCCCGUAACUUCGGGAGAAGGGGUGCUCUUUAGGGUUAACGCCCAGAAGAGCCGCAGUGAAUAGGCCCAAGCGACUGUUUAUCAAAAACACAGGUCUCUGCUAAACCGUAAGGUGAUGUAUAGGGGCUGACGCCUGCCCGGUGCUGGAAGGUUAAGAGGAGUGGUUAGCUUCUGCGAAGCUACGAAUCGAAGCCCCAGUAAACGGCGGCCGUAACUAUAACGGUCCUAAGGUAGCGAAAUUCCUUGUCGGGUAAGUUCCGACCCGCACGAAAGGCGUAACGAUUUGGGCACUGUCUCAACGAGAGACUCGGUGAAAUCAUAGUACCUGUGAAGAUGCAGGUUACCCGCGACAGGACGGAAAGACCCCGUGGAGCUUUACUGUAGCCUGAUAUUGAAAUUCGGCACAGCUUGUACAGGAUAGGUAGGAGCCUUUGAAACGUGAGCGCUAGCUUACGUGGAGGCGCUGGUGGG
rnacentral:rRNA from 1 species